AAUGAACGUUGGCGGCGUGGAUUAGGCAUGCAAGUCGAGCGCUCAUAGCAAUAUGGGAGCGGCGAACGGCGUAGUAAUAUGUAGGAACGUACCCUCGGGUCGGGGAUAGCCAUGGGAAACUGUGGGUAAUACCCGAUAAUCUCUGCGGAGCAAAGGUGUGAUUCCGCCUGAGGAGCGGCCUACACGAUAUUAGCUAGUUGGUAGGGUAAUGGCCUACCAAGGCUACGAUGUCUAGGGGGGUGUGAGAGCAUGGCCCCCCACGACCGGAACUGAGAUACUGUCCGGACACCUACGGGUGGCUGCAGUCGAGAAUCUUCCGCAAUGGACGAAAGUCUGACGGAGCGACGCCGCGUGCGGGAUGAAGGCCCUUGGGUUGUAAACCGCUGUCAGAGGGGAUGAAAUCUUCGGAGGUACUCCUCCGAAGUUGACAGAGCCUCAAAGGAAGCACGGGCUAAGUACGUG
rnacentral:rRNA from 1 species